GACAGAGGUGCCGAGCGUUAGGCGGAAUCACUGGGCUUAAAGCGUGUGUAGGCGGGUCGUUAAGUGUCUUGUGAAAUCCCACCGCUCACCGGUGGAACGGCUGGGCAUACUGGCGACCUUGAGAGGCCUAGGGGCAGACGGAACAAGCGGUGGAGCGGUGAAAUGCGUAGAUAUCGCUUGGAACGCCGACGGCGAAAGCAGUCUGCUGGGGGACUUCUGACGCUGAGACACGAAAGCCAGGGGAGCGAACGGG
rnacentral:rRNA from 1 species